UUGCAAUAUUUACUUCUAGUUGUAUUCACUGGACUUAGGGAUUGUAUAUCAUUUCUUAGUUUUGAACUUAUGAUUGUUUUGGAUGUGUAUUGGAUUGGUGUAGCCGAAUUUUGUGGCUGAAGAGGAUGUGGAAACAGUUGAAACUGCUGGAACACAAACAGUUGAAUUCUGUGUAGACAUAUUUCUAAAAUUCAUGAAUCCAGGAGGACUUACAAGUUGAUUUAGGCAUACUUAGGGAUCUUCGAUCUAAACUGGAGGAAUUCUUCAAUGCACAAAUGGCUUACUUGUGCGGAUAGAAUAGAAAUCAUGAUGCUCGGUAAGCUUCACAGUUUCUUAAACAAAGAGAUUCCAGAAAACAUGAUUG